rnacentral:rRNA from 1 species
GAUGAACGCUGGCGGCGUGCCUAAUACAUGCAAGUCGAGCGAAUGGAUUAAGAGCUUGCUCUUAUGAAGUUAGCGGCGGACGGGUGAGUAACACGUGGGUAACCUGCCCAUAAGACUGGGAUAACUACGGGAAACCGGGGCUAAUACCGGAUAACAUUUUGAACCGCAUGGUUCGAAAUUGAAAGGCGGCUUCGGCUGUCACUUAUGGAUGGACCCGCGUCGCAUUAGCUAGUUGAUGAGGUAAUGGCUCACCAAGGCAACGAUGCGUAGCCGACCUGAGAGGUUGAUGAGCCACACUGGGACUGAGACACGGCCCAGAAUCCUACGGGAGGCAGCAGUAGGGAAUCUUCCGCAAUGGACGAAAGUCUGACGGAGCAACGCCGCGUGAGUGAUGAAGGCUUUCGGGUCGUAAAACUCUGUUGUUAGGGAAGAACAAGUGCUAGUUGAAUAAGCUGGCACCUUGUCGGUACCUAACCAGAAAGCCACGGCUAACUACGUGCCAGCCGCCGCGGUAA